UAUUUAUUUGUAUCUAUUCUCAUUUUCUUGCCCAUUAACUUUGGUCUCAGCAUACUCUCUAUGUUGCAAUAAAGAAAUACAACGCCUAGCCUGCUAAGAGCAUAAAAAUGGAUCCUUGAAAUCUUAAGUUGUGGAUUAAUACAUCAAAAUUAUGCUUGGAAAACUCAUAUAUCUCUUUUUCCAUUAGAGAGGGAAAUAAGCAAGGAAGCGAUCAAUCAUGGAAUAACAUUCCUUUGGUUUGUACUCUGGAGCAACAUGACCCGCCCCCUUCACAGUAGCAUAUAUGAGAGUGAAGUCACCAUUCAUGUACUUCUCUGUGUAACCAGCGACUUGACCAUCUACAAACCAUGGCCUCCAGUAUUCGUUGGUGGUCAAAUCGAGUGAAUGAAUCCAGUUUUCUGUCCCUAUGUGAGGUACAGACAAAUCAUGAUCACCACUGUAUAUAAGAGCUCGAAGGCUUUGCUUGCUGAGAUUUCUAUGGUAAUCAACUGUGCUUGAGACAUCCUUUGUAUAGGCUAAGGAAGCAUUGCACCUCUUCCAAACUCCAGUUGUGUUCUCCCGAACUUGAAGAGCAUCCCUAACACUUUUGUCAUUAGCCCAAACACCAGAGAGCACAUAGUUAUAUUCCCGACACCAAUAUGCACUAUUAAGCUUGGAAAUGGAAAUACUUUCAAGGUCCUCUUCAUUGAGAGAUCUUCUUCCUCCGAUUCUUCUGAGUCCUCUUGCUCUUGGUUUUGCAGUUUGGCAAAUAGGCUCCAGAACUUGCAUCAGAUUUAUUUGAAGAAUCAACUCAUCAAUGGUAUUGAUAUCUGAAACACAGUCUGUGUUGCUUGCAUUUAUGUUCACAUAAUCUCCACCACAAUCUUCUUUGGUGGACUUGUAGAGUUCAUUUGAUAUGAGUGUCAAUCUGUGAACAAAUGGAACUACCGAGUUCUCAUCAAUGAAGUCAUCUGUCUUAGGGUUCCCAAGUAUAUAUCCUUUCAGAUUCAUAGUUGGUGGAACUCCAGCUUCAUUACCAUCAAGUAUAUUUUGUACGACAAUUGGAAGGGGAAUGCCUGAAUAGGAAUCACCACCAAUGAAUAGUUGAUUUGUAAGAUACUGAGGAUGGUCCAGUAACCACUUUUGUAAAAACUCAUAGGUCUGUGCAGCAGACUUGAUGUCAUCAACAUAGUAAUUUUCUUGGGUUGUAGAGUAGGAGAAUCCAGUUCCAAUUGGUGCAUCUACAUAUAUUAUAUUGAUGCCCUGUGUCCAUGCAAAAGGAUUCAAAUGCAGGGAUGGUAAGCUUCCAUUGUAAUUAGAAUAAUCAAAUGCUACCGGACCACUUUCGUAGAAGAAGGCAGAGAGAACAGAGCAACCAGGUCCUCCAGUGAGCCACAAUAUAAGAGGAUCAUUUCCAGGGUCUGAUUCUGAUUUAAUAAAAUAAUAAAAUAGCUGGUGUUUCUCUUCUUUACCCACACCUACAUACCCAGUUUCGAGAUGAAAAGGAAGAGG
rnacentral:misc_RNA from 1 species